rnacentral:rRNA from 1 species
UACGAAGGGGGCUAGCGUUGUUCGGAAUUACUGGGCGUAAAGGGCUCGUAGGCGGCCAACUAAGUCAGACGUGAAAUCCCUCGGCUUAACCGGGGAACUGCAUCUGAUACUGGAUGGCUUGAAUCCGGGAGAGGGAUGCGGAAUUCCAGGUGUAGCGGUGAAAUGCGUAGAUAUCUGGAGGAACACCGGUGGCGAAGGCGGCGUUCUGGACUGCAACUGACACUGAGGAACGAAAGCCAGGGGAGCAAACGGG